rnacentral:rRNA from 1 species
GCUCACGCUCCACUGCAUCGAGCUGCUACGUGUUCUAGUUCAGCCAUAACCCGGUACAUAUGGGCCUAGUGCAGUGUUUGUGUUUUUAUGUCGGCGGUGUCAUCCGAGUCCGACCACUUGUUCAGCUAGGGAGAGCGCUCGGUGGAUCGACAUGGCUAAGCGUGGAGAAGAGGGAUUGUUUCAAGGUCCAGGGCCUUCAAGUGGAGGUGAGUUCUCGGACCUUCCUCUUAGCAUGGAGAAGGCGUGCAAGCACUUUGGCAGUCAUGAAGGUACGACCGCCGAGAGCUCGUUCUGGCUGCAGUUCUAGGACCCUUCUCAGCCCUAGCUGCUCGGCAACCAACUCAAGAAAAUGGCCGAGCUGCACCGUCUGGCCAGGCAUGUCACGGGGACCUUUGUGUGGGCUUAUGGCCGGGUGCGCCGCUGCCGACCAACUUUCUUGGCCUGGCGCAGCGGCUGCAAGGAGUUGUUCCUUAGUUUGGACCGUGGAAACGCCCGGCGUGCUUGGAGGGUGCACGAGAGGCGUAUGUGGCUGCGAAGACGCAUUGGCUGGCCAUGCAGAUGAAGCAGAUGGCGCAUCGUGGUCCAGAAGGAAAGAACCGACAGGCUCACUGCACGAGUGUCCGAGGCCAAAUGCACGAAGGACAAGAUCCUAGACGGUCUCUAGUGAUCGUCUGUAUUCAUUUUCCUCGGUAUAUGUCGAAAUGCUCCCUUUGUAAGACAUAUUAUUAAUGCUUGUUACUAGGGCGUAUCCAUUGUGCAGUAACAAUUUGUCUUCUAAGGCCUUGUACAAUGGAAGGUGCUUAGAGAGAUGCUUAGAAAAAUAAACC